GCCACUAUAGCUCAGUCUGGCCAGAGCAGCGCCCUUGUAAGGCGAAAGUCGAUGGGUUCGAAUCCCUCUGGUGGCUCCA
rnacentral:tRNA from 1 species